rnacentral:lncRNA from 1 species
CUGCCUUUGAAGAAUGUUCAGAAACUUGACUUGGUCCAAAGAGCUACUUGGUCCAAAGAAUCUACUGGAAGUUUUGAUUCAGAAUGUCAAAGACCCCUCCAUGGUACUGGAGAAGAGGAAUAAAAACUCCUGCUUGUUAGAGCUAGAAGGGGCUCCAUCUGUGACCGGUGGCCUCAGGAUGUCCGAAUGUUAUUGUGAGUUCGCAACAGGUUCCACGACACGCUUUGACACACGGAGGAGGAUGGAGAGCCAGUUCAGAAGCCAGCUUUGGUGAGCAUCACUUCAAGACCCUUGAGCCUUGACUCCAUCGGCAGCAUCACACAGACAAAGAAGAGACAAAACUCAUGACUUCCACCAAGGACCGGCCCAUCGGUGGCUGUUUUUGGACGUCAAGAAGCAACGUCAGGACAACGUUGUCACCAAGGUAAGAGGUGACCCUUUUGGAUCAGAUCUAUGGGAAACAAGAGCAACGUUCACUGUAGACCAGGGGUCCCCAAACUAAGGCCUGGGGGCCAGAGGCGGCCAUUUACCUGCCCCCUGCCCUCAGUUUUAGACUUAGGCUUGCCCAAAGUCUGAAAUGACUUGAAGGCACACAACAACAAUCCUACUUAACUUGACUAUCUCAUUGGGAAGAAGCAGGCCCACACUUCCCAUUGAAAUCCUGAUAGGUUUAUGUUGGUUGAAAUUGUUUUUAUUUUUAAAUAUUAUAUUGUUCAUUCAUUUAUUAAUAUUGUGCUAUGGUAAUAAUAUAAUAUAUUGUGUUUAUAUUGCCACCACUAUGGGAAGAUAUAGCCACUAGCUAGCUACUUAGAGAGGAGACCUUUUAAAUUUUGUUUUUCUUCUUUCUUCUUUUUGAUGGUAAUAUAUAUGACAGAAGCUGAAAUGUUUAAAGGAACAAUAACACGUUUACUCUGGCACAAAGCUUAAUGGUUACAGUAACUUUCUCUUUAGAGGAACUUUGGUUAACAGUUGCAAAGCUAGAAUGAGGUGUUUCAAACUUCUUAAAAUGUCACUUCUUUCUUUAUUGCUCUAAACUGCAGUCACCCUGUGAAUUACAAUCACAGAU